rnacentral:rRNA from 1 species
AACGAACGCUGGCGGCGUGGAUAAGACAUGCAAGUCGAACGAUCAUUGUCGGGUAGCAAUAUUCGGCAGUGGAAGUGGCGCAAGGGUGCGUAACACGUGGGUAAUUUGCCGUAAAGUCUGGAAUAACUUGCUGAAAGGCGAGCUAAUACCGGAUGUGAUUGCUGGAGGACAUCCUCUGGCACUUAAAGUCGGGGACCGUAAGGCCUGACACUUUUCGAUAAGCCCGCGGCCUAUCAGCUAGUUGGUGAGGUAACGGCUCACCAAGGCUAAGAUGGGUAGCUGGUCUGAGAGGACGACCAGCCUCACUGGAACUGAGACAC